rnacentral:rRNA from 1 species
AUGGACCUACGGGGCGCAGCAGUAGGGAAUAUUGCUCAAUGGGGGAAACCCUGAAGCAGCAACGCCGCGUGGAGGAAGAAGGUCUUCGGAUUGUAAACUCCUGUCCUUGGGGACGAUAAUGACGGUACCCAAGGAGGAAGCACCGGCUAACUACGUGCCAGCAGCCGCGGUAAAACGUAGGGUGCAAGCGUUGUCCGGAAUUACUGGGUGUAAAGGGAGCGCAGGCGGAUUGACAAGUUGGGAGUGAAAACUACGGGCUCAACCCGUAACCUGCUUUCAAAACUGUCAGUCUUGAGUGG